rnacentral:lncRNA from 1 species
CCCAGCCAGCGCCACCCCUGAGGCUUUCCAGCAGCGUGCGCGGUGCUUCGCUUUCCCCCAGACUUUUGCGUGGACCCACCCCACGGGUUUCUUGGAUGGGCACGCACCGCUUUGGGCUUUCGGAAGGGGCUAUCGCAGUUACGGGGGAAAGUCUGCGGCCAACUUUAGAACCCCCACCCCCCGCCAGUUUUGCUUCAGUUUCGCCAGCCAACCUGAACUCGGAGUUGCGGUCUGUAAGCGAAGCUGAACCUGCAACCUCUAGAGGGUUUUAGACGCAGAGGGGCGGGGAGGGCCUGGUUGCUGGGCUGGCUCAGGAGACCGCGCCUCAGAGGCCAAGAGCUCCCAAGCGACCGGAGGACCGCGGACCCGAAGGGGUAUUUCUGACGCCAACACCUGGUGCCGCGCUUUCGCUUUUUCCCGCCUGCAGUACUGCUGCGGACCCGAAGACGGUUUCUAACUGAAGCUGGAGAGAAAAUCAGGCCCGGUGGGUGUCGCAGGCUGGAGCGGACCCCUCCCACCCCCACCGGUAGGCGGGGAUGGGGGGUGUGGGUGGUGGCAGGGGAGUUGCAGAGCAAAGGGAGGAUUCAGUCCCAGGUCACUGCUCCUGGCCUAUACAGGUGCGACUGGUGUGAAAGGGAGCCGGCCCACUCCCUCACGAGGGCCAAGAAGUGCCACGAAGUUGUGAGACAUUCUGGAGGUUCGGAUUCUGGCGCAUUGAGACCGCAGGAAUUUCAGGUCGGCCCUGGUGUCUCCACUUGUCCCUGUUUGGGCAUGUUUUCCAAGAGCCCUGAAGUUCUCUUUCCUAGGCAGGAUCCCUCUGCUAAAUCCCUGGACCUACAAAAUUCCAGGUCUUCUCAUCCCCCCGCCCAUGCUUCUCAACACCACAUGCUUCGCACUUGUGAAUCCUGUCCAGUGGACACAGGUAUGUUUCUCUU